CACAGGAUGCUAGACACGUACGCCACGGCUAGAAUACUAGAACCUUGCAAGAACACUAUGGUUAUUAGUUGCCCUUUAAGAAUUAGAAAAAUGCCUAAUUUUAGAAAGUCAUGAUUGAGUUAUACAAAUCAUGGGAAGGGGCAGUGCGUGGGGCGAAUCGAUAGCGAAGUAAACUAUCUCUUUAAAAUUUUUAUUUUCAACCGCUAGUAGGCGACAGUACACACAAGAUCUAUGCAAACAGAUGCUAACGGCUCAGCAGAGAGGGGGGCCCGCGAUGGAGUCAUAAAUUGCCCGCUGAAGAUGAGCUUUACGGAUCAUUCUGUCGAGAGAGAGAGGGUGAGCGAGAGGACGAGGGAGGCAGACACACAGCACAGCAGUAAAG
ensembl:lncRNA